rnacentral:rRNA from 1 species
CAUUAGCUAGUUGGUGAGGUAACGGCUCACCAAGGCCACGAUGCAUAGCCGACCUGAGAGGGUGAUCGGCCACAUUGGGACUGAGACACGGCCCAAACUCCUACGGGAGGCAGCAGUAGGGAAUCUUCGGCAAUGGACGAAAGUCUGACCGAGCAACGCCGCGUGAGUGAAGAAGGUUUUCGGAUCGUAAAACUCUGUUGUUAGAGAAGAACAAGGAUGAGAGUAACUGUUCAUCCCUUGACGGUAUCUAACCAGAAAGCCACGGCUAACUACGUGCCAGCAGCCGCGGUAAUACGUAGGUGGCAAGCGUUGUCCGGAUUUAUUGGGCGUAAAGCGAGCGCAGGCGGUUUCUUAAGUCUGAUGUGAAAGCCCCCGGCUCAACCGGGGAGGGUCAU